UUUAUAUGUAUGUGCACAUGUGCAUGUGUAUAUAUAAUGACAUACAUAAAAUAACAUAUACAACCAAAACAUAUGUGAAAAUGAAUAUAUGUAAA
rnacentral:miRNA from 1 species